ensembl:lncRNA
UGAGGAGGUGCAGUGUCAGCUGGAGGGGUCUUUUGUGUGGCUGGACGACCUCUAGACCCUCACCGAUUGGCCCUUCUGCGUGGACAGAAGAGCAGACCUCUCCAACUGGGAGUAUAAAUUGCUCUACAGAGAAGACAUCGCUAGGCAGGGAUUAUACAUGUUACUGUAAUGAUUAUAAUGGCUUUUAAGCUACAAGAGGAAAGGCCGUUCUUCUCUGGGUUUGGACCUGCAAUCUCAGGCCGUGAGCUGGUUUGAGUCCGGCCCAGAGAAGAAGAGAGGAGACAGAGACCAGACCGCUACUUCUCCCUCACCGUCCGCCAGCUGCUGAGGUCAAAUCCACGCUGCCUAGACCACCACCAGAGGUCACUACCACCCUACCCUUCAUCCCUGUGCCCCCCUGCCUGGAAGGUGAGGCUGAGGGGGGUGGUUCUGCACCGGGCCAGGCCCCCUGGGUCAACCCGCUGGGGGUGUAUAACUCCUUCACCUCCCUGUGGCUUCAGGGGAAGGCGGAGCAGGGCAAGGCAGAGGAACAACCCUCUGCUCCCAGAGACAAUGUUGCCGCCCUGCUGGCUGAACAGGUGGAGGACUUCAACAGGAGGCUGAGGGAAACCCCCACAGACACACACACCUGGCUGCAGUUUGUCCACUUCCAGGACGAGGUGGCGAGUGCCCCCGGGGUGUUUGGUGACAUCUCUGAGAACGAGACAGAGCGCCAGAAGAGGUCUGUGAGGGCAGUGAGGCCAUGCAUUUUGGAUUGAGCGGUGGACAGAAACCCCAGCUGUGUGGAGUUGAAGCUGGAGCUACUGUGUCUGUGCAGGGAGCUGUGGGAGCCAGCAGAUCUGUUGAAGGAGUGGAAGAAACUGGUAUUCAUGCACCCCAACAGCGCCCGCCCACUGUGGAGGAAGUACCUGCUGUUUGUGCAAAGCCACUCAGCACCUUCUAUGUGUCAAAGGUCAAUAUGGUGUACGGGAAGUGUCUGAGCAUGCUGGCUGUAGUGCAGGACGGGAGUAUGUUGUCUCACCGGGCACUGAUGAACACAUGCUGGCCAUCUUCCUCCAGCAUUGUCAUUUCCUCAGGCAUGCAGGCCACUCAGAAAAGGCUGUGCCAAUGUUCCAGUGCCUGCUGGACUUCAUCUUCUUCAAGCCAGACACUGUCAAGGACCUAUCCACCAGACAACAGGCCUUCCCCGUCAACACCACCUCAUAAGAUUGCCUGCUGCAGUUGUUCGAGAGAUGUCCAGUUUGCAGCCGAACAUGCAGCAUAG